AGCUGCAGCAGCCUUCCCUUCCAACAGCAGCGGCAAUACACGCAGUUUCCUUUAAUUUCCAUGAAAGAGAAAAAACUGAGGCAGAGAGGGAGAUGGAGACUGAGUUGCAAAAGAGGAGAGGCGGAAGGAAGCUCAUCGCGUUGCCAUCGCCUCACCGUCGCGCCAUCGCGCCAUUGCCGCCGCUGGAGAAGCUUCACGCACCGCCGUCACUCCCUGGCGCCACCGCAGAAGCCGCCCUCGCCGAUGCCAUGAACCGCGGAAGAAGGAAGGAGGAGGGGAGCUCGUCCUCGCCGAUCUGCCGCCGUCAGGGUCACCGCGUCGUCGUCCUUGCCAGCUCCGAACGAGAAGCACGAUGGAGCUCCGUUUCUGCUUCCCGGGUCUGCCGUGAGUGAGCAACAUUGGGAAAGAGGGAGCCGCUGCCGAGCUCAUUCCUUCACCGCCCAGCCGCGUCCAGUCCACCGCCGGUUGUUGCUGCCAUCGUCAACAAUGGAGGAGAGGGAAAGAGUCAGAUGCGCAGAGGAGGGAAAGCAGGAUCUGAGGCUGAGCUGGGGUUCAACCACCGUGCCCACUCGUGCUCGCGCCGCCUCCGCCGGAGCUGCCGCCGUCAGAAAGGGGUUUCGACUGCUGCAGGUGUCGUUGCCGGAAAAGAGAGCUGCGUCUCUGUGAUUCUGACCGCUGGGAGUAGUUCUGUGACUUCCGGGAGCUCCGCCGGAGCUUCUGGCUACUUUUGCCAUCGUCGAAAAAUUCUAUCGGUCAUCGUUGCCGCUUGAGGUGGCUGCCGGGCUGCCGCUGAACCGGUUCAGAGACCGUCGUUGCUCCGGUUCAGCCGUUCCUUCUUUGUUUGAGUUGUUGAGACUGUUGCGAAAGUGGCUUGGAGCUGAGGUUUUGGUUGCCGUCAAUUCGAUUUGAGGCGAAAAAGACUUGAUGAGUUAUUUGGGUUAUGGAAUUGCGUUUUGAGGAUAUGGGCGCUGAAGUCACGAAGAGUUUAUUUAAUUGUUGUUGUGAUGCUCUGUAUUGUUUUAGUUAUGUUUUAUUGUACCCUCGCCUUUAUCUUGAUAUAUUCUGUAAGAGGGAUAGGAAUUGUAUUGGUUAAUGUUUGUAAUAUUUAUAUAUAUGUAUGUAUAUAUAUGGAUGUACUCUUUAUGAGUUUUUGUAAGUUGUACGAUAUCUAAGGAUGUACGUUAUCGAAU